rnacentral:rRNA from 1 species
AGAGCGAACGCUGGCGGCAGGCUUAACACAUGCAAGUCGAGCGGGCGUAGCAAUACGUCAGCGGCAGACGGGUGAGUAACGCGUGGGAACGUACCUUUUGGUUCGGAACAACACAGGGAAACUUGUGCUAAUACCGGAUAAGCCCUUACGGGGAAAGAUUUAUCGCCAAAAGAUCGGCCCGCGUCUGAUUAGCUAGUUGGUGAGGUAACGGCUCACCAAGGCGACGAUCAGUAGCUGGUCUGAGAGGAUGAUCAGCCACAUUGGGACUGAGACACGGCCCAAACUCCUACGGGAGGCAGCAGUGGGGAAUAUUGGACAAUGGGCGCAAAGCCUGAUCCAGCCAUGCCGCGUGAGUGAUGAAGGCCCUAGGGUUGUAAAGCUCUUUUGUGCGGGAAGAUAAUGACGGUACCGCAAGAAUAAGCCCCGGCUAACUUCGCGCCAGCAGCCGC